CGGCUGGAACUCCAGCCCUCCUGCCUGCUCUCUGCCCUGCCUCUUUCACAGGUGCCUGGAGCCCAACUCGGCGACAGCACGGGUGGUAUGUCGCUUGGACAUAUCUCGCCACCCUGACGCCUUCAGUGUUUGCUGGAGCUGGAGAUAGUGCCUGAGGUGGCACAAUAGCCAGGUUGAGCAGCAAUUAGCCCAUGAUGAGGUAGAGGCCCGCCCUGGGCAAACAAAUCCCAUGCAGCCUCCACACAGGCACCUGGCGGAGGAGAAGUGUGAGAGGCACAGUAUGGUGGUGAAGGGGUGAGGCAGGCUAGCUCCUCUCCCUGUCCCGCACCCUGGCAGGCUCCUGGUCUGGCCCUCACAGACCAGCUCUAAGGCACUGUUUGGUUCUGGCCAGGUCCCUCUUCCUUUCUGGGCUCAGCAAGGGGGUGGUGGUUCUGGGCUGCCCUGGAAAAGCUCAGGAAGAGAAUUCCAGGGGUCAAAGGGAAGUAAGGAGGGGGACUGGUUUGUUAGGCUGGGCUUUGCUUGUUAGCAGACACUGUACCCUCUCGCCAUAGCCUGCCUCAGGCCUCUCACUCCUGGCUCAACAGUGAUCAGGUCUAUAUCAGACAUUCUGGCCAGCUGCCCCUUCAAGUGGAACUAGUACCAUGUCAGCCAGGACUACACCAGGUGCUGAAGUUCUGGGCCCAAAUCUAGGCUGAGCUCUUCACGGAAGCCUGUGGGACUGGGGCAAGUAGCUUGGCCUUUCCUAUCCCUAGUUUCCUACCUGGAGCAUAGGGAUGGUUAGGGCUAAAGAAGAGAUGAGGUCUAGACCAGGUGAGGUGGCUCACGCCUGUAAUCCCAGCACUUUGGGAGGCCGAGGCAGGUGGAUCACCUGAGGUCAGGAGUUUGAGACCAGCCUGGCCAACAUGGUGAAACCCUGUCUCUACUAAAAAUAUAAAAAAUUAGCCGGGCGUGGCCGGGCAUGGUGGCUCACGCCUGUAAUCCCAGCAUUUUGGGAGGCCGAGGUGGGCGGAUCACAAGGUCAGGAGAUCGAGACCAUCCUGGCUAACACGGUGAAACCCUGUCUCUACUAAAAAUACAAAAAAUUAGCCGGGCGAGGUGGCGGGCGCCUGUAGUCCCAGCUACUCGGGAGGCUGAGGCAGGAGAAUGGCGUGAACCCCAGGGGGCGGAGCCUGCAGUGAACCGAGAUCGCGCCACUGCACUUCAGCCUGGGCAACAGCGAGACUGUCUGUCUCAAAAAAAAAAAAAAAAAAGAAAAACCAAAACAAAAAUUAGCCGGGCGUGGUGGCAGUUGCCUGUAAUCCCAGCUGAGGCAGAAGAACUGCUUGAAUCCGGAGGCAGAGUCUGCAGUGAGCCGAGAUCACACCAUUGCACUCCACCCUGGGCAACAAGAGUGAAACUGUCUCAAAAAAAAAAAGAAAAGAAAAGAAAAA
rnacentral:lncRNA from 1 species